ACCUUUGACCUGUAAGCCAUCCUCAAUAAAUGUUGUCCUUUAAGAGUUGUGUCUCUUCACAGCAGUUAAACUCUAACUAAGUUAACAGUGCAACGGAAAGAUACAGAACUCUGUCCUUUUUUUUUUAUCAUUUUUUUUCUGAGAGAAGAAUGAUUUUGUUGUUUUUGUUGUUAAAAAUAGAUUGACUUGUUUUAUUAAGGUAAUAGCAACAUUGCAAAGUGUGACAUCUUCCACUAAACCAGUUCUCUAGAUGAUGUUAGGAGCAUCUCACCACCCUCUUGGAGCCUUAGAGUGAAAAUACUAAAAUUUGCAACAAUGGUUGGUCUGGUAAAUUUUUGUCGGAGGUACUCUUCUUACCUUGUGUGCAGUUCUGUUUUGUGUUUCCUAGAUUAGUAGCUCCAACUCUGAUCGCUGUGAUAAGCCCCUUCAAGGUUGCUGUGCCUUAAGAUGGGAAGUAGAGAAACAAAGGUGACAAUAUAAAAUGACAGUAACGGCUCUCGAUUCAGGGCCUAGUAUAUGUCAGGUCCUUUAUUGAGUAAAUAGUUUCUUCCUCCUUUUGUCCAAGGUGCUCUUUUCCAGGUGGGAUCUGACUUCCUGUUCAAUUUAGACUCUCCAAAUCUUUCUGCUGGAGAGCCUUCUGAGAGCAUCUGAUCUCAAGACAGGAAUGAAAGUCCGAGCCAGCCAAGACAGAUGGUUGUUCUCCAUGGCAACCUGCUGCUAAGCUCUGUCCUUUUGCCUCCUUGGGGAGAUUGCUGCAACCCAACUCAGGACGGGUAGUAAAGUGAGGUGCUGCUUGUCUUAGGAAUACUGAGGUCUAGUGUCAGGUCAAGUGUAUGAGCCAGGCCUCUACAGUAGCUGGACUUGCGGUCAAUCAAGCUUCUAGAUUGCAUGGCCUCAGCUUACCCAACAUCUUGCUUAUAUCUGUCCUGCUGACCGAGCACUCUCCUUCCCCAGGCAGAGCCACUUUGGCAGUCCCAGGCUCUGCAGAGCUUCCCUCACUGGUAGUGGACUUCAUAUUUUCUGAGCUCUGUUUCUCCAUGGAGAAGGUCUGUUUCUUCUCUGUUUCUGGAUGGCACACUCUUGAGGGCAGGGAUGGUGCUAUACCCAUGGUCAUUUCUCAAUUCUCAGUUCAGUACCAGCCAUUGCUGCUGACUGAGGUGUUUAGGGGAUAUUUAUAGUAGCAGCUGAUUGGCACAGAUAGACAUUUGCUAACUGGAAAGAGUACAGAGACACUUUCCAGUCUAUUGUAAUGUCUUUGAGCUUCAUGAGGAGAGCAACAGAGAUACAGUUAUCUCAAGCCCCAGUGAUCAGCACAGCUUCUGGCCUACAGAGCUCUGGCAAAGGCAGCUCCUGGGCUUUCUCCUUGGUAUUGUCAAAUUAUGGUUCUCUGCAUGUUCCCCACUCUCUUUCUUUUUCUUCUCAUCUUUUCUGCUAAGCCAUCUCUCCAGUCAAGACAAGAUGUUUUCAAAAUUAACGGAGAUAAUUAUUAUCAGAAGGUACCUGUGGUUAGAUGCCUUAUCAUGAUAAAGGAUGUUGAUGCUAACACCACCUGCUACUUCAGUGUCUUAAGUUCUUGCCUAGGGCCAUAGCCAAUUCAAGAUGGGAUCCACUCUGAAGCUGGUAGAUGACUUGACCUUUUACCCUGAUGGAGAUACCAUCAGUGGAUGCUUAUUAGUACCAUUGUAUGAUAGUCAGCUCAGAUACUGGGGAUCCAUAAUGAGUUCUCUGCCAUUGCUAGGGAGAGAGGAGUGAGUGACAAGAGGUUCAUUGCUAAAGAGAAUCCACAAAAGUGGCUCUGAAGGCUUGCUCAACAACGUACGUAUUUUGUGCGCAUUGCUCUCAAACUUGCCAAGAAAAAUAGAGUUGGGGCACUGUCCCUAUCUGUAUCUGUGGAGGACACAUUGGAGAACUUGAGGCCAAUUUCAGCCUAGCAUCAUGGGAAGGGCAAGUUUCCUAAGAAAGGAGUCUAAAGAAAGACCAUUGGCCUUCGGCACACAUAUAACAUGCAGGUGGCAGAUGUAUGGGAUCUUACAAAUAUCUUUGUAUGGAAAUUUUUAUAAACCAGAAUAAUUCUCUACUUUUCUCAAGUCAUGAGUACUGUGCUCAUGUAGCAUUUUAGUUGUUGAGUUCCCUUUAAAGCAAGGCACACAAGAAGGCCAUAGAAAGCAAUCUGAGAUGCUGACAAAGAAAAUAGCCUGGACUCAGGGUUAUUUAGCUUAUUUUAUCAGAAAAAACUUUAUAAGAACAAAACAAAACAAACAAGCAAGCAAAAGCCCACCUCAUCAGUAUCUGAAAUCACCAACUCCAAAAUUUUAGCUCAACAAAGCAGGCUGCCCAGGUUCAUGCGGUUGAGAGGCCAUGUUUUCUGCAAGGGAAGGCAAGUCACUGCAUAGUUCAUGACAAAUGUAUUCAAUUAAGAAACAAGAGACCCAUUUUGAGAAUUUAACGCAUGUGCUCAUUUUAUAGGUGAAUGGGUUUGGUCACAAAGCCUUUGGCCUGAUUUGGGGGAAGAAUGUUGGUUCUUGGAGAGUGGCCAGAGGAGGGACAUGGCUACAGCCUUCUUUUCUGUCCCUUUUGGAAGCCUUUCUUGUAGGCUCUUCUGCCCAGUAGAGGGGUUCCACAGAAGCGGUAGUGUGUCAUUUCAUGCCUUUAGGAUAUAGCCAGAUCCAGUGCUGAGUUCUGGGACUGAGAGUACUCAGCUCUAGUCUUUGAGGGGACCUGAGGACAUACGUCAGGCCAGAAUAUUCCUAUACCAGUGGAGUAAAGCAUUUGGUUUUAGAGAAGACACUGAGAUGACAUGAGAGAAAGACUUACAAGAAAGAUAGCAGUCUGGCUAAAUAUUGAGGACUCCUAAUGGUAACCACCAGGAGGAAGAGAAGGAAAGUGCCUAUCAUGUAGAGGGAUGCACCUGCUGGAGGGCAAGGGAGUUCCUCCCCAUGGAGAAGGGUGUUGAGGGCUUAUGUAGGGUAUUCUGGAAAUCUCUAGAUUCUGUGGGCCAUGACCCUUUAAGAGGUCGAAGGACUCUUUCGCAGGAGUCACAUAACAGAUGUCCUCAAUGUUAGAUAUUUGCAUUACAAUUCAUAAGGGUACCAACAUUACAGUAAUGAAAUAACAAUGAAAUAAUUUUAUGGUUGGGGGAGUCACCACAACACGAGGAACAGUGUUAGAGGGUCACAGCAUUAGGAAGGUUGAAAGCCACUGCUCCAGACCAUAAAUAUGAUAUCAAUCUAGAGAAUCUAACCCUCAUCUUUUAUGAAUUAAAUGAUAUCUUUGUGGACAAUAACUACUUAUGUUAAGAAGAAGAAGAAGAAGAAGAAGAAGAAGAAGAAGAAGAAGAAGAAGAAGAAGAAGAAGAAGAAGAAGAAGAAGAAGAAGAAGGAGAAGAAGAAGAAGAGGUCAGAACUCCUGCGUGUGAACACAAGGGCUUCCAUGCUAUCUGACUCCUCUCUGCUCUUGCUGAAGGGUCAGAGACCUGACUGAAGUGAGCUCUGUAAUUGACCUUGGAUGGGACAGGUGGGGCUGAGAGCCAGCUGUAGACAGUGCUGGGAUUGGAGUUAAUAGAUAAUUUCUUUUAACUUCGGUGAGUGUGGGGAAGGGAGAAUGGGAAAAAAGAAGAUUCUGCGUGCAUCCAAUUACCUUUGAGAUUUCUGGCCUCCUUUUCCUUAAGUGGUUGGCAGCUGUGGGAAGAGGCAAAUGCCCUUAUACAGCUGGGACAGCCAGGCGGGGUCUGAAAAGCCCUCAGAGGACUGGAGAGCAGCAGAGCCUCUGCCUGUGAUAGAAGAGAAAGUAGUUAAUGAUCAGUGUUCCUAGGGUGGGAAAAUAGAUGACUAAUUAUAAGAAAUUGGCCCAGCUGUGUAGACUACUUUUGAAAUCAAGAGUUUGUGUCCCUUUGGAGGAGUAACUUGGUCAAGAGACUAUUCAAAUCUCACUUGCUUCUGGGGGCAGAGGCUACCUUUGCUAGGUCUUACAGGGUCUCCUCCCUGAAUCAGUCAUUGUCUUUUCUGGAAAGGGAGAGUAGAGUGGGGGGAGGGGGAGGACCUGCCCUGGAGGCUUGGCUUUGGCUCCUUUGAGUCACAGAUAAAGGGACCCUAGAUGGCAUUAAUUUUCCCUUGGUCUUUGCUUCACUUCCAGGGAAGGCUCUGGAGACCAAAGGUUCCCUAUGCUGACACAAGCUGAGGCUCUCCUUGCCUGCCUGGUCUGUUUGGGUUCUCUCAGCACUUUCUGAAGGACACAGUCUAGAGAAGGCCAGGUGACUCAGGCAGUGCCUGUGGGGAAGCCACUGCUGCCUUUCACAGUGUCUGCCUCUUCAGCUCCAGACUGGGAUUAAUUUGGACAGCUAAAAAUGUCUUGGGGAAAGUAAAAUUCUAUUUUAAACUAAGACUUGCACAUCAAAUCUGGUGGGGUACUUGUUAAUUUUUUUAGGUUAUAAUUUAUUUGUGUGUCUGUCUGUCUGUGGGGUUGGGGGUUAGGGCUUGUAUACAUGAAUGCAGGCACCUUUGGAGGUGAGAGGUGUUGGCUUUCCCUGGAACUGGAGUUACAGGUGGUUGUGAGCUGGCGGGCGCGGCUCCUUUGGGAGAGCAGGAGGUGACUUUAACUACUGAGCUAGCCAUGUAACCCCAGUAAAUCUUUAUUGGACCGUGCCCGCAUGUAUUCAUUUACACCUUAUCUAUAGCAGUUUUCAUGCUAAAUGACAGAGUUAAGCAGUAAGCAUAGACACUGUCAGCUUGUGAUGGCUAGAAUUCUUGUUUCUGGGUCUUUAUGGAAACAUUUUGCCAAUUCUAAGAGGGGUAGAAUUAGAGAUGCUCAAUAAGCUUUGGGUAGAUGUGUGGAUAAAUGAAUUAGUGACAGAAUGGAUCAAUGAACGACUGGACAGAAAUCUUGUAAUUUGAUAACUGAUUUCCAAUCCUAGUUUUUGUUUAUUUAAGACAGAGUCUCAUGUAGCCCAAGCUGGCCCUGAACUCACUAUGUAGCAGAGAAAGAUCCUGAACUUCCGAGUGUUCUGUCUCCACUUCCUGGGUGCUGAAAUUGUAGGCUCAGCUCAUCUAUUUCUGGGGAUUGAAUCCAGAGCUUCCUGUAUGCCAGGCAAGUUCUCUACCAACUGUGCUCCACCCCCAGCUCUGAGCUCCACCCCCAGCUCUGAGCUCCACCCCCAGCUCUGAGCUCCACCCCCAGCUCUGAGCUCCACCCCCCAGCUCAGUUUCUCCUUAACUAAAACAAGAGCAGUGGCACUUAGGAACUGGGCAGUGUUUAUGAGGGUUACUUCCUAUAUAACAAAUGCUAUUAAAAUAUUACUGCUAACUGUUAAGUUUUAUGUGUCAAGCACUCUAUCAAGACUUUUAUUUUUAUUGCCCCACUUAGUUCUUGUUGCCCCCCACAGUGAGGUAGAAAUGGUCCUAUUUUAUAGACGAAGGGGUUGAGCUCAGAGAGGCUAAGUUACUAGCUGAGGUCACACAGCUGGUAAGAGAUUAAACUCAGAAGCUGCCUCUGAUGUCUGGCCUCUGACUGCUGGUAGGUGUUACCUGCCAUUCCCCUUUUAAUUAGAGAGGAAGAUACUAAUUUUGGGAAGUGUCUCAAAAUAAAGAUAUGUCAAACAAGGAUUACUUUAAAACUUAAAAAUAUACAUUUAUGUAUUCUCAGUCUCUUUCUCUCUAUCUCUUUCUCCUUGUCUCUCUGUCUCUUUCUCCCUGUCUUUCUAUCUCUGUCUUUCUGUGUGUGUGUGUGUGUGUGUGUGUUGGGUAUAUAAAGAGCCCAGAGGACAACUUACAUUAGACGGUUCUCUCCUUCACCUAUCUGGGUUCCAAGGGUUGAACUCAGAUUGUUGGGCUUGCACUGAGACAUUUAGAAGGCCCAGGAUUGAAGAAGGACUCGGCUCAGUCAUUCUGUGGGCAAAGCUAAAUGAAGGAGUCUAUAUCUCUCUUCCCUGGUGAUGCGCUGGUUAGCUUACGCCACCUUGAAACAAGCUGGACUCAUCUGAAAGGAGGGAAGCUCAGCUGAGAAAGUGUCUCCAGAAGAUCUGGCUGAGGAGGGGUUUCUUAGUCAGGGUUUAGUGGGGAAGGUCCUGGCUCAGUGUGUGUGGGGUGUUUUCCCUGGGUUGGUGGUCCCAGCUUCUAAAAGAAAGCCCACUGAGUAAUCUGUGAAGAGCAAGCCAGUAAGCAGCACCCCGCCAUGACUUCUGUGUCAGCUCCUGCCUCCAGGUUCCUGCCCUGUUUGAAUUCCUGCCCUGACUUCUCUCAGGGAUAGACUGUUUCCUGGAAUGUGAGUGAAAUACACCUUUUCCCCCAGGAGAUGUUUUUAGUCGUAGUGUUUUAUCAUAGCAACAAUAACCCUAAGGCCAGGUGAGUUUUAAGGACGUGGAGAAUUUUCAUUUGCUUGGCAAUAUCGUUUGUGGUAGAAAAAUGCAAGUAAAGGCCGAUUUCCCUCCCUCCCAUGCCAGCUGGUAAUGACAGGAGGCCUACGGAGUGUGCUUGAGUGGGAAGGGAACAUAUACUUCCCUACCUGGUGUUUUGUGUGCUGCUUUAAAAAGCUGAUUCAGCAGCAACUAAAUUGUUUAGAGAACAUUUCAGCUCUGGUGUUCUGGGCAGCAGCUGGGAAACUGCCUGGAGCAGGCCUGGGGCAGAAACACUCACCUAGAGGAAUUUGGCCUGGAGUCCCAGAUGGACCUAGGCACCCUGUGUACCUCUGGGCAACAGGACCGGAAAGCAAGUCCCGCACCUACUUCAGACCAAUGUGACAACUUCAGACAGGUUCUCCGCCUUUUUCUCCUACUCUGUUGAUUGGUUGCCUGUGUUGUCAGCCCUUUGGGCUACUGAGGGAUUGGGUCCGACCUUUCCCCGGCCUCUCAUGACUUCUGCCUUUUGCUGGAAUGUGCCCCCUGGGCUAGGAGUGUGGACCCCUUCGCCCAGUUCCUGUCCCUGCAUGCCCUUCCCCUCUCAGAACUUAAUUCGUUCUUUCCUACGGCUUUGAUCUUCUUUGGACAAAAGCCCCAAGCUCUGGGAUAUCAUUACUGGCCUCUUUGCGCUCCAAGUGCUCUCUGAUUCACAGUUGGUUUUUUUGGCUAAUUUGAGACCACCUGGUCCUCGGAAGCCAGCGUUCUUCCAGGUUGCUCUGUGGGAGAAACAUGCUUUGCUCACAUUUUAAUCAUGUUGGUGAGUCUCCUGAUGGCAGAGGCUUCUUGGAUGUGGAGAACGGCAGAGGCAGAAGGUUACCAGUAAUUAUGCUAAUCUGUGGGCAUUAUAUCUUCAAAUAUUAUGUAUUUUGGGGGAUAAGCAAUUUUGCCGUUUUUUUUGAGGGGAUGUAUGUCACUUUAUUUUUUGAGUAAUGACCUGUAAUUUUAUAUUAAGGGAGUACACAUAACUGUUGUAAAUUGACUACACUGUGAACUCAGGUUUGCAUUUUCCUCCUUUUAAAAAAUAUAUUUAUUUAUUUAUUUUAAGUAUAGGAGUAUACUGUCUUCAGACACACCAGAAGAGGGCAUCAGAUCUCAUUACAGAAGGUCAUGAGCCACCCUGUGGUUGCUGGGAGCUGAACUCAGGACCUCCGGAAAAGCAGUUAGUGCUCCCAACCGCUCAGCCACUUCUCCAACCUGAAUUUUCCUUCUUAAAUACUCACGAAAGAAAACCAGAGCAUGCUGAUCUAUAAUAUACAACUUUAUGUACAGGCAAAAAUGAAUAAUAAUACUAACAACAUUUCAAUAGCAACACAUUUCCUUUCAAAGCAUAGCUCCAUGAGCGAAUGAAUUUUCCAGUGGGAAAGGCACCUUUGGUGACUUUUCCUCGUGUUGAUUGGUGGAUCUGCUUGAGGUUGACUGUCGAUGCAGGUGAAUUAGGACAUCUCAUCUCAAGGAUUCCUCGAUGCAGGUGAAUUAAGACAUCUCAUCUCAAGGAUUCCUCUUCCGUGUGAGCCCUGAGGUACCCGGGAGAGCCGCUGUGAAUGAUAAUUUCCCAGGUCCAGUCCCUGACAGAUCCGUGUGAAAUGGGGAUUGCCCAUUUGGAAUAGUUUUUCUGGAGCUCUCUCUACUGAAGCCUCAGGGACUUGGGGAAAAUGGUACUGUCAUCUGACCGGGUGAGAGAUGCCAGGGCAUCUGUGGUUGGAAACAAAGGAGAUGGAGUCUUUAUUCGGGGGGUUGUGUGAGACCCACAGACAACCUUUCUUGGAAUCUGGCCAUGGGCUGAGCCAUAUUAUCUAUUUGGCCAACAGCUCAAGGUCUGUGCUGGGGACAGUUGCCUGCCACUAGAGAACCCACCUCACGAGCUAGCUCACACACAGUCAUCUAGACAGGUGCCCUCCCAACUGGCCCCGAAAGAGAGCAGAACUCCUGCUGGGUUCCGGAGGUGUGGUCUAUGGAAAGGGGUUGCAUGGUUUCAUUAACAUGGGUUUCUGUAACUUCAUUUUCUUUGUCCACGAUGAUGUCAGGCUGAAGAUGUAUACCUACAGUAGUCCCUGGAGACUGGCUCAGGGCUGCCUCUGUAUAUCUAAAGUUGGUAAGUCUCCCUGUGGCCUUGCAUCUUCAUUUGCAGGAUGAGAUUCGGAGUGAAUGCUUAUGGUGACCAUUGCAUUUGACAAGGGAGGAGUCACUCCUUGCAUGCCGCCUCAUAUAUCUCAGAUGCUCAGUCCACAGGCGUUUCCUUUGUUGUUGUAUGUGACAGAUCUGUGAGGUUGGCAGGGUUGUGACUCAUCCGGCUGGCAUUCUGGAAGGGUCUGCCUGAUGCCCUGCGCACCUAUUGUUACCCAGCAGAUGGUGAUUAUAAUGAAAGAGAAGGAGCGGCCUUUACUGAGUGCUAAUUGUGUGCCAGGUACUAUGUUGGGUGCUGGGUCUGAGUGCUACCAGGGGAGUAAGCCAAAGAGAAGCACCAACAAGAACAUUUUCAAAACAUCAUAGAUGCAAAAGGGAAGCUUUAGCCUAAGCAUUAUGAAAUGCUUCUAAAUACGCAUUUCAUAAUGGAGCCUGUAGAACUCCGGUUGGGUCUUCCGGGAGAAAGUAGAGUUUUGCAUUUCCGGCCUGCCUGUACUGUUGGAUUUGUGGCUGUGAUGCUGUUUCAGCCUGAGGUUUCAGUGGUGCUUUCUCAGGCCAGCUUGUUGUAAACACCCCACUGUCUCAGUCCACAAGAAGGAUGAACUGAGCGCAGAGAGGAGAAAGGACAGCUUUUUAGGUCUGUCUUGAAGAUACGUGUGGAGCUUUCUUCUACUCCCUCUGUCUCCUUCUAAUGUCCCUAAGUGCUGCGUGCACACACACCAUGCCAGUGUUUUGGAAGAUUCAGGUUUGACCACUGUAAAUUGGUUCAUAUUUCCAGCAGGGCAGUUAUUUAAUUUCCUGUUGGAAGUCUGCAAAUAUUGGCACUGUUUUCUCCUUGGCAAGGGACCAAACCCCAGUAUAGUAUCAUUAGCCAGCUCUGGUACAUAGAUUAAAGCGCGAUUGUCUUUAAUAAGAGGCCAUCCCUGUUUGGGACGGGGCUUGAGGGACUGCAAAGGGCAUGGAGCUACAGAAGAGCUUUCUAAUCAAAACCAAAAAGCAGGAACUGUGGGAGAGAAGGGUUAGCAGGAGGGCAGAACUCCGCUCUCUUGUCUCCAUUUCAUUUGUUUGGGUUAUUUUUCUCUUGACUCUGGGAGAGCUUUGGGAGCUGAGACUGGCUGAUUUCUCAUAUGUCCUAAUGUGUGGCCCUGUGCCUCUUUUCUCUUGGGACUUCCUUCCUCUGGGAAGUUUGGCUUAUGGGAUCCCCCUUCCUGCUACAGAGUCAAGGUGAGAAGUGUAGUGUCUCCCGGAGCCGCCUGCGGAGAAUGACGUUUCUGUGCUGAAAGACGCUGACUAAGUCUCUGUGUGUGGUGUGAUGAGUCUUCAGAAUAUCCCUGUGAGACACGUGCUCUUGACAUUUUGGGGGUGACUUUGCUGAAGUGCAAAAGGGGCGGCCCCCAUCGUUGAUCAUCUGAACUUGAGUAGGAACUCCGUUCUACUACGUAGAAAGGUCUUACUCUUUCCAGAUGUCAUGUCUGCACUUAGUAGGGUUCUGGGGUAGAGUUUGGAGUUUUGAGUGUCUUGAGGAAAUGGUGGAAAGGUUGAAAUUCUGUAUAAUCCCAAUCUGGAGGAUUCUUUCUAGAUGUUUCUUUCUACAGCAGCCCUAUCUUUUUUUUUUUUUAGCAGGGGCCUUUCCCUGAUUUUUGGAAUUAGCAUAGAGAUAUGUAUCUCCCCACUAUGAAUGUGUUGUGAAAAGUGUCCCAGAUGAAAGGCUGAGAUGUUCACUCAAUGGUGAACAUCUGCCUACUCCUUCCACCUCCAUUGAGCUUGUUCUGUUUGUGUUCUGUUUAGUCCCCAACUGUACCCGGGCUCCUCAGGACCAUCGCUCCAGUCCCUCUGGCUCUUUUAUUCAUGGCAACAGACAAACUGGAAUUCAUUCAUAAAAAGGUGGGGCUGUGUUUCAUAGUCAUUUUCUCCAAAAAAGAAGAAGGCGCCCUCAGGUCAAGGUGGAGUUCCAAACCUUUAUAUCUUCCCACUUCUGUUGUGCAAGUGGUGGUGAUGCUGAGGAUGAAUACACAAGGUCUAACCCAUCCUCCUCUUCUCCACAACACACCAGCGCUAACUUCUGCAUUAAUUUAUCUCCUGUAUCUUUUGAAAAUUCCAAUUUAUAGAGAGCAAAGUGAGCCAGUCAGUAGUUAAUUCCUGUGUUACCUUAGACCAGCAAACAUGUACUUUUUCCUUUAUGGGAUAAAAAAUUGCUGGUGGUUCUUGAAUCUACUUCAUUGUUUGUGUAGUAUUAGUUAUUUUACAUGUAUGUGUGUGUGUUCAGUUGCACAUGUACAUGUGCUUAUGGUUGUGGAGGCCAGAGGAUAUCUGUCUUUGGAUGUCUCCUUAGGAACACAGUCACCUCCUUGGAGACAAGGUCUUUCUGGAGCUAGCUAGGCUUGGCUGGCUGCCCAGUGAGCUCAGGGUUCCUUCCCAGCUCUGGGAUGUCAGAUGCACGCCUCUAGACCUGACUUGUAUUACAUGGGUGCUGGAGAUUGAGCUCCGGUUCUCUUGCUUGCAAAGAGAGCAGUUUACUAACUGGACCACACCUGGUCCCCAGCCUUUCCCAGUUUCUUAAACACUGGGCCUCCUUGGGUCAGUAAAUGUUGAGAUGAGGGGGAUAGAGAGAAUGUAUGCCCUGUGAAAGGCUGCGCAGCAGAGGAGAAGGCUCUGCCAUGGACAGGCAGGAGAGACAGGGCCAAUCUGUUGCUUAUGAGUGGGUGAUUGGAUGAGGGAAAUGUGCUGGGGAAUUCAAGCAAAGCUCUCAUCUCACAACUGUCACUUGCUAGCUGUAUAAUUUGGACUCCUUGGUCUUCAAGUUGUCAUGGUAAAAUGCUGUCAUUAGUAUCUGCCUCAUAGCAUAACUGUGGAGAUUAAAUUCACAUUUGGUCCAUAGUUAUGCUUCAAUAUUUAACCCAGCAGUUGUCAAUACAACAUACUUGGUAUAGGAAUGAUAUGGGAAAAUUGAGGAAGGCAUAUAGAAAACAAUCCAGUUCUGAAGGUAUUCUACAGAAAUUAUUAUGAGAUGUUAGGAAGCAUGGCUGAAACAACAAUCCUGGCUCUUAGCAAAACAUGGGCAGUUACUUGAAUAAGCAAAACAUUCCAACUUGUUUGGUAAAAUAUAAUUGGCAAGGCUUCAAGAGUGGCAGAAGCCCAAGUUGGGGGUGAAGACACAAGGAUGGAAUUGAUGGCCUGAGUGAUGUGUCUGAAGCCAUUGUAGUGUCUGCUGGUCUCUAUAAGGCUCGCCAUGCAGUAGAUGGUUCUCUCUGCUCCCUUCCUCCUUGAAGUCUGGUGGGAUUAUCCCAUUUGCCUCUUUAGUGAAACCUCUCGGCCUUUGUACCAGUGCUCAGUAAGAUGGAGUAUGACAACUGAGGCUGCAAUCCCACGGACUUUGGUUGCCACUUGCUUUGCUUUUAGCAUAUGGAGGACCUUAGGGAGGUUAGGAAGAGGAAAUUGUUCCAAAGAACUGAAAUCCUAGGCGAGCACCUAAAGGCUGAGUUUUACCUUCUCUCUUUUCUCAUUCUGUCAUGUAUGGAUUACAUGUUAUGUGAAUUUUACAUUCUUGGGAGGUGGUUCUCUUGUCUUUGGGGAACACGUGGAUUUCGAAGCUAACAUAUUCCAGGAGUUGAUGGGGUGUUGUUCCACAGGUCAGAUGGAUGCCUAGAAGCAACCUCUACUCAGACUGAAGUGUUGGGACUUUAUAACUAUUUCCUUAUGGGAUCUGUACAGCCCACCUUUGUUGUAAGGUGGGCAUUGUUUUUGUGGUCUCGGUAUAGAUACAAAAGGAGAAUAGGAGGGGAGGUGGUAACUCACCUGAGGUGGUGCAGCUAGCACUUAGAGGAGAUGGGUCUGGAAUGUAGCCCUCUGGCACCAGGCCCUUCCUCCAGCCUGCAGUAAGCUCUUUCACUCACUGGCAUCUCUAGCUGGCGCUCUAUGAGCACACCCAAGGAGCCAGCAAGAGGACAGACUUCUUUGUGCUCAUUCUCCACCUCUUUGAGAGAAUGCCAGGGGAAGAAACACUGGCUUGACCGUGGAGUAAGUACUUCCAUUAUGCCUGGGUUAAAACAAGGUGCUCUGCAUAAUUCUUAGGUUUAACCUUGCUAAGUGUAAGACUUCUUCUCUUUUGAUCCAUGCACACCAAGAAGGCAGGUUCUGUUUCUCCCAAGUUUACCCCAGGAAAGAAUUCUGGUGGUAAGACCCCCUGCAGAUGAGUACAGGGGUCUCAUAACCAUUUUUUUGGUUCUUAGUGACUCCUGCCUACCAAGUUGGUUGGUGGUAGGUGACUUCUAGCUACCAAGAAGGGUUACAAAGGCCCCUCACAUGAUUGUACAGUUCGUAUAGCUGGUAUCCAUUGGAAACUGCAGGCUUUUCACUGCUAUAUUUGAAAAAUAGCCUAGUGAGUCUAUGUGUUCAUGACUCAGGACAGCAGGGGACUGAAAUAUCUGUGUGCACUUAUUUUGAGUUUUGAACUAUAGGGAACAACUCUGGCUCGAAAGGAGAAAUCCGUCUUCUGAAACUGAGUGCAUCUCUCUUAGUGGCUUAACUCAGUGGGGAGCCACUUAUUACAUAAGCUGAACCCCAGGUCUGUGGGUUUCCCUUGACCAAAGAGGCAGUACCUGGAGUUAUGAGGAAAACAGAAAGACCCACUUCUCUGCAGUAUGACACUUAACAGGCAGCUUUAGCCAGGAUGAUUUUGGCCAGAGGAAAAUGUAGCUUAAGGAAAGUCCCCAGCUGGUCCAAGUAACUUAAGCCAAGCUGGUCAUGAAAUACUGUCUGACAGCUUUCCCUCUCCUGAGAGGCUUAGAGGCUGCCUCAGAGUAGCCCUAGGACCCUGUGCUCUCAGGCUGGGCCUUAGUAUCCCAGGUUUAGCCACUUUGUAUCAUAGAGAGUUGAGAGGGAAAACCAUGUUUAGCAUCAAUAUUUUUUUGUGUAUGUAAAUAUAAAAUCAUUCUGUGGGGCCAGGAGACAUGGCUCAGUCAGUAAGAGCCUACUGCUUAGAUCUGAGGGCUGAGUUGAAGUCUCUAGCAUCCAUGUGAAAAAAGCUGAGCACAAUGGUGUGUCUAUAACUCCAGCACUGGGCAUGCAAUGCAGGCAGAGAGGCUCGCUGUAACUCACUGAUCAUCUCCAGCUUGCACUGGAAGACCCUGUCUCAAAAGUAAGGUAGAAAUUGAUAGAGAAGAUACCACUUGCUUGUCUGGCUCUCACGUGAUGUGUAUCAGAAGCACAUGGACCACCUACCUGCUCAGAUGCAUAUGCAUGAAUGUGAGCACAUGACAGACAGACACAAAGACGCACAGCACACGCACAUGCACACACACAGACACACACAGAAACAUACAAACAGAGGCACAUACACAGAGGCACACACAGACACACACACAGACACGUAUACAGUAAGAGGGAGACAGAGGGAGGAAGAGAGAUGGAGAUGGAGAGAGAAAAAGAGAGAGGGAGGGAUACAGAGACAGAGAGACAGAGAGACAGAGUAAGAGAUGGGGAGAGAGACAGAGAGGGAGGUGAGACAGAGAGGAAAGGGAGAGAGAAGAGAGAUAGAGGUAGAGGCAAGAGAGAGGCACUUUUGGUACCUUGUUGGGCAGAAUCUUUUGGUUCAGAAGUCGACCAUCAGUUUCAAAUGUAGGGGGCUUUACUUAUUGUCCAGUACUGUGUGUGUAGAUAUUGGAAACACAGAAAUAUGGGACACAUGAGUACUCUAGAUGCUCCAUGGAGGUCGAGACUGGCCUAUUUUGUUUACUGGAGAUGCUUAUAGGAUUGAAAGGUGAGUCUCACAUAGCUUUCAGGUCCCGCAGAAUGUUAGUUGUCUUGCUCACCUUCUUAGUCAGUUAUAAAUAUGAAAAAUGGUCCUUAGACUUAUAGAUCAUAUGAAAACAGCUCAUCAGAGCUGCAGUUUGUCCUUUACUGACUGUUGAUGUAGGGUCUCAGAAACAGAGAGAAGCCUCUCUGUGGUUUGCAAAUAAUACCCAGAAUUUAUAAUAAAGGGAAAUCAGAACCAAGGGCAGCUGGGGUUUGACCCCUAAGACUUCAGUGUGUAUGUAGGUCUACUGUUUUGGUACUACUGUUAGUUCCUGAAUGUAUUUUUAUUAUAUACUCAAUCAUACCAAAAAAUUAACAGGUGAAAUCUUAAAAAGGAAAGAUACACUCAUAUCCUGGGUCCACAUUUUAAUGUGAUUCUUUUCAAUCUUGCCUGUGUAGUACGUAUGUAUGUAUGUAUGUGUGUAUGUAUGUAUGAUAAGAUCAUUCUGUAUAGGCAAUGUUGAUACUUGACUUAUGUCUCGGCAUCAUAUAGAAAGCAUUUCUUCUUGUUUUUUGAAUAUUCCAGUGUAAACUGAAGCCACAGGAUGAUACUGCUACACAUCCAUAGAAUAUCUGUAAUUAAAAACAAGUUAUCAGUGCCGUGUGCUGGGGUUGGAUUUGGAGACACAAACUGUGAUACAUUUCUGGAAGAAAUAUAAAAUAUUAUGGGCACUGUGGGGGCAGUGCUCGUCAGCAUCAGUGGGCCACCAACUGCACACAGCGGUAUACUGUUCCCUGUAGCAGCCAGCAGGUUCUUUGCAGUGAUAGCUACGCAGAGGAAGAUAGGAUUCUUGACUUCGCUGCAAAAAAAGGAAUUUUAGGGCCCGUCAGCAAGGUGAAUAGAAAGAAAGAUAGGCUGCCAGGACAAGGUAGGGCACACCAAGAGAUUUGGAUAGGGGCUUUCCAAAAGAGUCAUUAUUAUCUUCUCAAUAGCCAAAUGUAGGAUUUUGAUGGCUUCUGAAGUUAUGUCUCCAAGAGUGGUUAAAGACCCCCCCCCCCCCGCCCCCACCAUGAGACCAUAGAGCCCUUCAUGGUAUGCACAGGCUAGGAUUACAGCCGCUAACUUAAAACCAUAGAUCAUAAGGGCUGAGCCUGGGAACUAUGGAGAGUCUUUUACAAUAUUGAAAGUUCUUGCUCCUGAGAGUCCCAGAAAGUUCCAAGUUUGCAUCCGGGAAAGGAGUAAUGCCAUCCUGGAAGGUCACACACACUUAGGCCUGACCAUGACGCGUUGCCGUUUUAACAUUCUUCCUUGAGAAGGGAUGUUAUCUGUGCAUAGGUAAACUUGGCAGUGAAUUUUGUUAGUAAGUGCUAGAGUGCUUGACUCUUGGCUGCUGAGAGACUCCAUUUAGACCUCAGGGUGGGGGUGGGAGGCUCCAUUCCCUUCCGAUGUCCCCUUAAUUUUCAUUUUCUUCCUAUUCUUAGUUUGACAGUUUCUUUUAAAAAUAUAAUAUUUUAGGCACUAAUUUAAAAAAUAUUAUAAAUGCAUACCAUCUAUUUUGGGCAUAUUAGCUUUCUACUUUCCCCCAAACUCCUUCCAGAUCCACCCCAUCUUCUCCCGACUUUAUCUUUUUUUUUUCUUUUUCUUUUUUAAAAAGGUAAUCGACCAAGUCCAAUUUGUGUUGCCAAUAAUAUUCACAGUAAGCAGAGUGCAGCAGCAACAGGAACACUUGUGAGCUGAUAAGCAAAGCACGGUACAGUCAUGUAGUAGGGUAUGAUACCUACUUUGUGGGCUACAACACAGACAGACUGCAGGUACAUUGUGACAGGUGUCUGGUUACAUUGCUAGCCAAUUGAAACACCUAGCAGAAGGGGCAAGAGGAAGGACCAGAGAACCUUUUGGGACGUUCCUAAUAGAGGAACAUGUUCUAGGAGGGGGCGUGGUGAUGGCAUUGUACCUUUGAACUGUAAACUAAAAUAAAAAUAACCAAGGUUCACAUUGCUGUCAAACUGUCCAGUGAAAUUCACAGCACGAUGUAGUAGUUAAGUAUAGACCUUGAAAACUGUUUUUUUGUUUGUUUGUUUUUUUUUAAUUUACAUUUAAGAUGGGGUCUAACUUUGUAGCCUAGGGUAGCCUUGAACUCAAUAUAGUCCUCCUGCCUCAGCAUUUUAAAUGCUGGGAUUACAGAUGUGCACCCAUACCGACCGAACCAAAACUGAAUUUUUAGUAGUGUAUUCUAUCAUGAGACUAUUCCAUGUUUACCCUGUAACUGGAAGAAAUGUUCAGUUUUCAUUGUAUUUUCAGUCAAAAUUCCUGUUCAGGAGGUUAGGUUUGAACUUCCGGGUUAAAGAAGUCUUCUGUGGAGCAAAUGUGCCUUGGAGCGGCCUUCACUCUUCUCCCAGCAUGGUAGCCACGGCUUCCUCCUGAGUACACUCCAGAAGACAGGCAGACACAAAGGGGUCCAGAGCCCCACCGGUAGAGAAAUGAAACAGCAGGCAACAAUGGCAAUCUCGAAGACUGUGAGACCAGAGCAUCUCUCAGUCCUCCGGGUCCUCACCAUGCCCUCUCCCUCCUUAGACUGACGUAUAAUCAGUAAGAACCAUGUGGGUCUCCGAAGGGGUCCUUACAAAAAGAAUUUCUAGAGGCCAAGAGAUGGCAGUCAGGAGGAGAGCAUGGCCGGGGUGCACUCUGUGAGCGGAAGUAUCCAACUUCCUGUUGGUAGCUGCUAGGGUAUCAAUGCAGCUCUACUGGGGCAAUGCGGUUGGCGGGAAACUGGCUUUCAUGUUCUGAAGUGCCAGGAACAGAGCUCAUGGUUGGAAGACUGAGGCUGGAAACACUUCCAGAGUCAAAAGCAAUGUGACUGUAAAAAUGACCCAGCAUGCCUUGCUUGCCUUUUGCCAGGAAGCUGAGCCCCGGUGGCAGUGGGGUGGUAAGCAGGAUGAAGCUGAACAGGUCUCUAGGUCCUCUCUGUUCUCCGAUUCCACGCUUUCUUAGAGUAAGCCAGAAGUAUCAGUGCCCAGAAAACCCAAAGGAGAGCCAUGGAAACCAAACUCAUAAAUGUUUUUUUCAUUAGCUCCAGGCUCCCAGCCAUCAAUAAACUAUAUACUCUUAAAAAAAUCCUUCAUUAUUUUGUGAGUUUUUAAAAAAAAUGUGCACACUCCUCUUAUUUCUAUGUCGGAAAUUUUCUUAAAAUGUUACUUAUCUGGCAUCGAUCUGGUUAAUUAUUCCAAAAGGUAACAACAUUCUAGUAUUUUUUUUUUUGCAUAAAACAGAGCAGGGGGGAAAGUAUUUAAUAAAGUCGCUGUAACCUGAGACUGUUGGUGGUCUUGGGGGAGACGGAAAUCCACGUUGGGUUGAUAUGGUGUAAUGUGAAUGCAAUUAGUGGUGGUUUUUCCAAAGCAGAAAGAGAUGUAGAAAAAUACUGUGCAGCAAAUUUCGGUCGGAGCUGGGAAGCUUAUAAAUUCUUGUUUUUGUUCUCAUUACUUUAAGUAAUAGGGAAGCCUUUGUCUUUAUGACGUCAUUUCCCCAGCACUAAUACAUUCUAAAACCAUUUUCUGUUAAUUUCGUAUGUUUGACGAGAAGCCGCAGCUCACCCCCGGCCUUGUGAUGUGGCUGCGGGCACCAUUUACACGUGGAAGAUGACUCUUGGUUAGUCCCUUGGAAGCCCCAAUGAGACCAGCUUUCUCCACCUGUUUCUUCAUUCAGUAGAAGGUCUGACCAGCAGUUUCAAGGGAUGGUUUUCUGGUAGAUUAAGGAGUGAAUUAACUUCCCAGAGAACACACUGUGUUUCAGAGCUUGUGAUUCCACCCUGGCAAAAUAAAAGCAGCUUGGGUACACUGUAAGGCCUUCAAGGACAGUGAGUGUGUCUUGGUGGCUUGUCACUCCCUCUGACGCACAGAGGCAGGCAGGAGAUGCUAGCUGUGUUGACUCUCGUUCCCAGAUAAGAGGUGUGGCUGGCUCACUUCUCCAUAGCAGUAUACACAACUCUUUACGGUUCCUUCUGGAACCUUCUGGGCCUCCUUCUGCUGAAGCACCUUGCACUUACUGUCGUUUCUCCUGAAAGCCCAGGUACCUGCAUCGGUUAUUUCUUCACCUCUGUCUUUGUUCUCAUUAAAUGAUCUCAGGGAGAUAAACCUUCUUCUCUUUCGUUUUCACCUCUGUUAAACUGAUAUAAUGUAGAGUGUAUAUCUUUUCAUUUAUUGGAUGUAUUGCUCAUCUACCAUACUUUAGAAUAUAAGUUCCACAUGGCCCAGGGUUUCUGAUUUGGUAAUUACCAUGUGUUGAGGCAUUAGAACACCAUAGUCUUUAUAACUUGAGUUGAUAAGAGAAUGUCCCAUGGGACCAGGGGCAGUGCAUUCACUGUGCUGCUUCCUUUGCUUGAUUCUCCAUCUGGUCCAUAAAGUGGAUCAGACUAGAGGAGCCAUUGCACAUCAAAGUUCUCUCGUGAAAUAUGCUGUUUAUUCCCUUAUUCAUUAUCAGACACAGUCCCCACAUCCACAUGCCCAGAAACUGGGCAAUUGGAAGAGUGAUUUCAGUAAAGUGAGUUAGUGAGCACAGUAGGAACGUACGAGAGCUAGGGAAGUACCUGAGAGGGGCCUUGAACCAAGAGCUAGGGAAGGGCAUUGAGUCUAGAUCCGAGGACAGAAGCCCAGAGGGCGUCUGGGGAGAAGGACAUGAGGGCUGAGAUCUGGAGAUGGAAAUGGUGUGAUCUAACAUGUGUGUAACGUGUGUGGGGGGGAGGGGAAUGGAACGAGGGAGUGAGGAAUCACGAGGUCAGAGUCUGGGAGUGAGAAGCCAUGGAGCACUAAGGGACAGUGCAUGAUCCAGUGUGUCUGCCAUGGGCAGUGUGCUGGGGAAGAAAAAAACAGAGACAGGGCUCGCCAGGUUCUCUGGGGAGAGUGGUGCAGGCUCGUAUUUGAUCCUGAGGGCUGUGGAGAACUUGGCCAGACUUUCCCUGUGCAGUGACUGUUUUAUGGAGUAGAAGUUUUCUUCUCCCUUGUGAAAGACUGGGGACAUUAGCUUCCAGGAAGAGAUCUUGUAAAAAACCGUUCAAAGGGGGUCUCUAAAAGCAAAUCAUCUGGCAUCAGAAAAGUCUCAGAAGCUGCGGGUCAAAGCUGUGAGUUAAGAGACAGACGGCAAAAGUUUGGUAGGAAGCUGAGUUACCUUCCACACAUAGCUCUUCCGUGUGAGGAAGAGACCGCACAGCACUACAGACAGACUCUCUCAUCGGCCUAGGGUCAGGGCAGGAUCUACUCUGCUUCCCACCCCGGGGAUGAGCAUUUCUACCUCAGCUAACAACAGUCUUUCAGAUGGUGGAGAAAGGCCUGUGACUCAGCUCCAGUUUGCCUUGCAGCUGACCUGUUAGCAACUAUGUGGCAUCGGAGAUAUCUUAGUCUUCUCUCUACCUCAGUUUCUCUUCCUAGGAAAUGUUUAGCACUUCUAGUGCUGAUAAGGCUCAAUGAGCUAAAAAUAUAUUAAUUUAAUUUAUUUUACCAUGACAUGUUUCAAACCUGCAGAAACAGGGCGUUUCCUGAUAUAAAUUUCACAUUUAUUAAGGAUCUGAAGAACAUUAAGUAAACUCAACCAACGUGAGUCACCUAGAAACUCAGAUACCCCCACCUCCCCCAUUAUCAUCACCUCCACUCCCCAACUGUGCUGGGUACCACACCUGCCCAUAUCUGGUGUCACCAUCCCUCUUUCAGCUCAAACUAACUGCAUGCUGUCCCCCGCACCCCUUUCUGAUACCCACUUUGCAAGAAGGUUUCAGGUUGCUCUCAAGGCAGAGUGCCACCUUUAUCUUAGCAAGUAUGUAUCAGCUACUAAACAUGUGUGGAACUCUGCCACUAUUUUUCUUCAAUUUCUGUCUUUUAAAUUUGGUUUUGAGUGGGCUGCCUCACUCCUGUUCUCCUGUGCUCCCUGUGGGCUUUAUUGCACAAUUUUGCCUAGCAUGGUGGUUUUUUGGGGGGACUUGUAUGUUACAACUGAACUGACUACAUCUAACUCACCUCACACAAUUUCUGGCAGACAAUAAGCAGUAACUGUUCUGUUAGUCUGAGUCCACCUGAGUAUGAUGUAGGGCAAGGCCGAGGUAAGCAGUUAAAAUGCUUCACUUACGCUUUGAGUGAGUAGGUCAGAUGGAGUAGGCUCCAGAAUGGAGGGCCACAAUGCUUUUCUCCUUCCUGUGUCUGUUGCUCGCUAGAAAGCUUUCCGGGUGGAAACAGUGACAAGCCAGGAAAAGAGUGCUGGAGAACGUGGAGAAGGAUGGCUCUAUGAGGGGAGGGGUCAGAUCCGCUGGACUCUGGGAACUGCUGAGAACUGGGGAGAGCCCACUCAGUAUUCUCCAGGGUUCCUCUUCAUGGCCCUGGGUAGGGAGCAGCUGAAAAAGGAGGCAAGCUUGGGUUUCAAAGUUUGACUUCACAUGUUUGUUUACUUACAGGUAGUAUUGCAAAUGCAGAUGUUAUAGGGCUGACCAGAGUUGAUUUCAGACAGAAACAACCCAGUCCUUCCCAGCAAUACUUGGCCACUUUCAAUAGGCUAGGAAAGGUAGCCCAUGUGCAUAUUUAACAUGGGUUCAUUUAGUUAUAUCUUUGGACACUUGAGGUGGGAUGACCAUGCCUCACACACAGUCCUGUCUCCAGUGAGCUGGGGACAGUGAAAGCACAUUGGUACCAUCUAUCUGUCCUAUUUUGCUUUCUUUUCCAGCUUGGGGUAAUUAGUUCUUGAUCUGGUUUUAAUUUCUCUCCAGCAUCCUGAAUCAUGCUUACCUUCCCAGGACACCCAGGACAGGAAGCCCCCAUGACAUGGAAGAUGCCCCUUUAGUCCUGAAUCUUCUUACUGGGACUAAGUUAGGUGAGCAGCAGGAGACGGAGAACAUUUGAGAGGGUUUCUGGGUAACCCUCAAAUCUUUAGGAUGGCAUGCUCUGAGCUUGCACACCAGAGAUCUCUGUAGGAAAAACCAUUCCUGGAUUCCUAGAUGCAUUCAAAGUGAAUUAUCCCGAGUGUUUCAUUUUGUUUGUUUAUGGAUAUUUAAGAUUCUAGCUUUCUGUUUGAUGUCACUAUUAAGAAUAGGGGACGUUUAAACAGGGUUGAUUUUGUUAGAUUAGCCUGCUCUCUAAUCAUAGAAUGCAGUGCUGUUUACAUGCUAAGUUUUAACAAGACUAUUAAAAACACUUAGCAAAAGGCCACUCAAAAACCAGCAGCUGUCCUGUGCUUGUAUUUUUUAAAAACUGCAUUUUUCUUUUUGUUUCUGUGGAAAAAAAAACAUGUGGGAAUUAGGUUUGCUUGGAGGUUGGUUUAAAAACAAAAACAACACAAAAAUCAAGAGUCCUUAUAUUUUUCUCCUCUAAGAUGAACUGUUCAGGACCCCUCUCUUUCCAGCCAUCUAUCUGGAAAAUGUAUGUAGAGCUCCCGUUUGGGAGCUCAGUGGUGAGCUGGACUGCACUUGUGGGUUCUGUCAGUCGUAAGCAGGCUGACACUGCUGAUAUGAUACAUAAGCCACUAGGCCUGGCCUGUUCUGCUGGGAAAUGUAUUACCAAGCAUUCUUUCCUUCCCAGCUGCUGGACAGGCUGCAGAGAGCAAGGCCUGUGGUGGACAAUUGACUAGGCAACUCAGCCCAGGCUUUGUGGCCUUCACCCUCAGCAGAGUCCAUGGUUGCAUUCACCUUCCUUUAGACUAGGGAUGCUGUCUGCUUAGCAUGUUCCUUCUCCCUAUUAUCCAGAAGGUUCCAUUUUCAGCUGUGUUUUUCCUGGGCUUUGAGAUUUGAAGCAAGCCACUAUAUCACUCUGCACUUUUGCUCAUUCAUUCAUUCAUUCAUUCAUUCAAACAAACAAACAACAAAACAUUGACAACUCUACAGAAAUCUUCUCUGAUUUCCAGGGCUGUUGUAAAGUAUCUAGGGCAGUGAUGCUGGACACAUAGGCAGGACCAUAACUCAUCGUGACUUUACCAUCCUCCUUUUCUUAGACCAGGCUAUGGCACAUCUCCAAGUUAGAAAACUUAGCUGACCCGGCUUCCUUACUGCCAGGCAGUGUGGCUCAGGGCUGCAGAGAUGAGCUAGAGCAAUUCCUCCUCUGUGUUCUUAGUUUCACUGGAAUCUUCACCCUCAAUGAACAUUCUGAAGCUGGCUGUGUGUACAAGUUGUGUGUCCCUUGGAAGGAUAUGGAGAAAGCUUAGAUAGACACUCAUUUAUGUGUGGGUGGCAUGUUGUAUGGCACACAUUCUCCAUACCUUAUGGAUGGAAAGUACACAUGAGGUUGCUUUGCCCCUGAGACCCACAGUGCAGCUCAGUUCAUGGAAGGCUGACACAAGCCAAGGAAAGAGACUGUUACCUGGUACGAGCAGAUACUGUGUGUGACUAGGCUGCAGUGAAGUGGCUUGUGUUUUCCAAGUACACAGACUUUGGGGUGUGAGUUCCAUGGUAAUAAUUCUUUUAUUUAUAGCUAAAGAAAUGGAGUUGAGAAAGCUGACUCACUUUAGGUAGAAGUGGACAACUUUCUGGUUUAGUGAUGCAAGCUGCAAAUCUAUUCUUUGUCUUCUUGAUCCUCUCUCCCUGAUAGGAGAGGUUCUACAAUCCGAAAGGGUUAUACUGUAGGUGACACCAGGAGAAGGAAUUGCAGAUCUACCCUGGCUUUUUGGAAGAUAUCUCAUUCCCCACUCUUAAUGGCUCCAUUGGAGUUUGGACCCCAGUGUGCCCAAGCUCAUAGGAUUUGCCAGACAAAGUCAGGAUUUGAACUCAGGUCUAUCUCAUUCCAAGUCUAAGACCUUACAUGGUACCCUAGUCAUCAUCUGCCCCCACUGUGGUAUUUGAAGGCUGUUUGUAGAAAGGGCACAUGUCACGUAUAGUUUCUAGAGCAGUGGGUCUCAACCUUCCUAAUGCUGCAACUCUUUAACACAGUUCCUCAUGUUAUGGUGACCCCCAACCAUAAAAUUAUUUUUGUUGCCACCUCAUAACUGCAAUUUUCUACUGUUAUGAAUCAUAAUGUGUCUGUGUUUUCUGAUGGUCUUAGGUGACCCCUGUGAAAGGGUCAUUUGAGAACUAUUUAUAUGAACCAGUACAGUAUAAGCCAUGAAACGAGUCAUGAAAAUAGGUCUUUCUAUGAGCUGGAAUGUCAGGUGAUUUCAAAAUUCCGUAGGAAAAGGUGGAGCUCAGAAUAGUUCUGCACUCACUUCCUAAAAUGUCAUGAUGUUUAAGGACAGAGGUUCUGUGGACAGCCUUGGGGGAAAAAACCCAAUCCAGAGGUGACCAAAGGAAAUCUAGGCAAGCUUGUAGAUUUCCCUCGAUUUCACAACAUCUUCAUGUGGAUUUCCUAUAUUGACAUAAAUCUAACCUGAAAUUGAUUUCCUAAAAUCAACGAUGUCUAAUUUAAAUAGCUUGAAGUUCUGAAGGUAUGCCCCAUUGGCUGCAUCUCCCUCUGAGACUUGAGAUGCACUUGACUUUCUAGCUCUUGAAUAUGUCUCAUUGUCUUUCUUUUUUCUUUUUAAAGAGAUUUAUUUAUUUUUUAUUUAUUAUAUGUAAGUACACUGUAGCUGUCUUAAGACACUCCAGGAGAGGGAGUCAGAUCUCCUUACAGAUGGUUGUGAGCCACCAUGUGGUUGCUGGGAUUUGAACUCAGGACCUUCAGAAGAGCAGUCGGGUUCCUGUACCUACUGAGCCAUCUCACCAGCCCUCAUUGUCUUUCUUGCCUCUCAGUUUAUAACACCUUGAAUGUGGGGAGUGGAAGAAGCCCUGGAUGUGUUAAGUGCUGAGUGAAAGUAUGUUGUUGACAUGCGCUGGCCCCGUCAGGCAGAGGGGUGGCAAAUCCUUCUCUUCUCGUCCCUGAAUAAAUGAUGAUAGUGUGUGCAGAAAUGCUCAACAUAACUUUCCCCUCCAAAACCCCAUACUAUGUCCUGAAGACUGGUCCCUGCUACUGAGAGUAGUUUGUGCUUGACUCAGCUAUACACCAUAAACCCUACCUACUUAUUCAUCUGUAUCGAAUAACCCUACCUCCUUACCUAAGCUGUGUGCAAUAGCCCUACUGCUCUCUUCAAUUCUAUAUAAUGGACAUGCUGAGAUUUAGGGUGCUGUUGUUUCUCUGAGGGCUCAAUCCAUCUAAAUUUAGCUUUUCUGUGUAUCUGUAUGUGUUGGUCUGUCUUUUCUUCAUUUCUUUGCCUCCCCAAUCUGGUCUACCCCCAGAGCCAUGCUAGACUUGACGAUGUACUCAGCAUUGGUAUUGCUGACAGCUCACACCCUCACAGAGGCACUUUGCAUGGAAGGAAGUGUGUAUGUGGAGACCUGUUUCAGGCAAGCGGCAGGAGAAACUGGGCUUGACUUCAUAAAGUAGUGGGGCAAGGUGGGCAUUUCCCAGUCAAACAGCCAAACCCCAUUCCCACCUAGUUCCCACUUCAUUUCUUUCACUGUUGCGUGGUCUGUCCAUGAUAGCCACAUGACAAAUGUUGAGUGUGUGGAUUUGUUUCCAUUUUGUAUUACAUAUGAAUUUGACCUCCACAGUAGGGCUGUGUUAAUUUCCCAAAGCUCUUCUAAUCAUUGUGUUCUUUUAAAAAAUAUGCAUACUAUUCUCCUUCCUUGGUCUGUGCUAUGACUGGUGUUUUGAAAGUGGUUAAACGAUUUCUGGUUGCAUAUGGAGUCAUGUGUAUGUGAUACACAUUCCCAGAUGUAAACAGCUGCUGAAGCUCAUUAUAGAGUUUGUGUAGCUAGCUACUCCAGCCCUUCCGCCAGGCUAGAUUCAACAAUUCUGCCCGGCCGAGCCAGUUUUUUUUUUUUUUUUUUUUUUUUUUAAUUCCUUAAGAAAAUCAGUUCUGGAUGGUGUUCUCUAUAAGGUAGCUUGUAGCUUUAGCUUGCCAUUUUGAUAUUUGUGACUGACAGAAAGUAUGUAUAGAAUUUUGUAUGAAUUUUAGAUUACUCUUCUGUCCCAAUUGUAGGAUAACCAGUUAGUUUAAUAACUGGUUAUCUGUACUUUCCAUUCAGGGUUUCAAAGUUAGAUAUGUAUGCCUUUAAAAUAAUGAGUUGGCGAUGCCUUUAAAGAGAGCUGAGCUGGAGAGAAAAGCUGAGUCAAAAAUCUGUAAGUGGGGCUGUUCUGGAACAUUUUUUUUUUUUUUUGCAAGGGAAGGCCAUUAUCUCUUUCCCCUCCCCUUCCUUCUCUCUCUCUCUUCCUCCUCCUUCUCCCUCCCCUUCCUCUUUCCCUCCCUCCUCCUUCUCUGUUAAUCUAUCUGUAAAAUAACUAUUCAAAAUGUUUACAAACUGUAGGACAGUGCUUUUGUGCAAUGAGCUUCUUUUAAGAUUCAUUCGUGUGUCUUACCUAUAUAGGUACUUUGUCUGUCUGUACACACAUCAGAAGAAAUCACAGGAUUCCGUGGGACUACCAUUAUAGGCUGUAUAGAGCUAUAGACAGUAAUCAACUGUAUAGACUGUAUAGAUAGUUAUAGUUGUGAGCCACCAUGUGGGUGCUGGAAAUUGAGCUGAGGACCUCUGGAAGAGCAACCAGUGUUCUUAACCACUGAGCCAUCUCUGGAGAUUCCCCCGGUAAUGAACUUCUAAGCAACAAGGAAAAUACAAUGUUUCAAAGACCCAAUAUUUUAAGGCAAUUGAGAAGGUUGGGUGGAGAGAAGAUGAAGAUGUAAGAAGGCUGCAGCUGAGACCGUACCUGGCAGGGAACCCAACUUUGUCUCCAUGGCAGCGCACAACUCUCUGAUUUAGUUUUAGGAGAAUUGAUUCCUUCUUCUGGCACUUGACAGUCACAAGGCACAUACACGGGAUGUAUACAUACACAUAGGCAAAAUAGGCAUUAAAAACCAUGUUUUAUGUUGUUCUGUUUUCCUUUUCCCAUUACUUCCUCUUUCUAAAUUGUUUAGAAAUCAGUUUGCUGUAAUUAAAAAAUAUACACGUGAUAUAUGUGUAUCCAAACAAAAAAAGUCAGAGUAGGUUUUAAGCCAGGUGAGUCUCCAGCACUGAGAAAAGGAACCAGACACAGGCUCCUAUCCCUAACCGCAAAGUCAUCUGGAAUUGUAUCUGCUAGCAAAGGAGACAUUUGUUUUCUUCAGUGGGAUCUCCAGGGGAUAUUACUCAUACUUCAAGGUAGGCCCUGUUUCUAGGAGUAGUUGGCUGAUACAAAAUGAAGCUAACGAUAUUUUUGUAGAUUUUUGUCUCUUUUUUUUGUUGUUUGUUUGUUUAGGAUUUCUGUCUUACUCAUCUUUUGCUUGUAUAUUUUGGAUUCUGUUUUAUUGUGGGAGGGUUGUGUGUGUGUUUCUUGUGUUUUCAAUUUUACUUUUCUUGCUUGAGAGAGAGAGAGAGAGGGAGAGAGAGAGAGAGAGAGGGAGAGAGAGGGACAGAGAGAGAGGGAGAGGGGGGGAGAGAGAGAGGGAGAGAGAGAGAGGGAGAGAGAGAGAGGGAGAGAGAGAGAGGGAGAGAGAGAGAGUAUGAGAAUGGAAUUGGGUGGUGUUGGGGAGGUUGAGAGGAUUUGGGAGGGAAAGCAUGAUGAGAAUAUAUUGUAUGAAAAUUUGUCAUUUUAACUAAAACAAAGGUAAUAAAAAAUUAAACAAAAAUACUUAAGUCUCCAUUAGCCUCCAAUGACAGUCUUAAUAUUUUGCUAUAUCUUUUAUAAGACUAACUUUAAAAAUUAUUAUUAUCAUCAUCAUCUAUUAUUUGUGGUGGAUUUUUUGACACUGGGUCUCAUGUAGUUCAGGCUGGUCUCAAACUCACUAUAUAGCUAAGGAUGGCUCUGGACUCCCAAUCGCCUUGCUUUUACACCCCAAGUAUCAUAAUUACAAAUGUGAGCCACCAUACCUAACUACUUGUGACCAUCUUAAAUACAACUAUUUUGUAUCAACAUUAUUUUUCAAGACUAUAUGUUUUUUGUAAUAGUACUCUGAACAAUCACAACCUUCAGUUUAUUUAGUUGGUUAUCUAGGGUAUUUUGCCUCCAUUUCUUUGAAAAUUAAAUAAAAUAACAUUUUUUGGUAUGGUGCUAGAGAAAAUGAAAUAUUGUAUUUACUGACUGUUUGCUGGGUGUCAAGCACCAAGGCCGCGAACAUACUAGGGACUAUUCUACCACUGAGCUACCUCCUCAACACUUAAAUAAACAUUGAUGGUCCAUCAGAGCAGUUCCAUCUUAUCCAUCUGUUACUUUAUUCACAUAAAGGGGGGAAAAAAACCAAGGAAACUUUGCAUUGGAGAGGGAUGUAUAUUAAACUAAGUCAAGCAGUCCACACAACGGGAACUAAAACUGGCAAAUAGAGUAAGUUUCCCCCAUAAAGCUGCCUCCAAGCCUCAAUUCCCAGCCCUUUGGCUUUGAAUAUAUGAAAUUCAUGUGCCUACCCAUGAUGCACUGUGAUUUUUGUCUUGCUGGUGUUUGGCUUCAGACUUUAAAUCUUCCGGCGUGCUCAGAGUUUAGGAUCUGUGAAUAUUACCCCUAGUCAAUGCGGAAAAGUCCGUGUACUUGGUGUUCAGGUUUUUAUGAAUUAUUCCUCAGAAGAGAUGAGAGUAGUGUCUGCAGUGGAUGGGUGGGGGUUGGGUGGGGGGGGAGUGGCCUCAGAGCUUCUGUGCCCUCCCUGCAACCCUGCCACAAAAUACAUAGUUGGUCACCUGGAGGAGGCUGUUGGACUCUGAAAACAAACAUCUUGGGCUUAUUUCCUGCUCUUCCAAUUUCUGGUGGCUGACUUUUGGUUUUUCAUUUGGAAAAUGGGAAUGGUGACCAUGCAUGUAUGUGUAUUAGAGGUGCGUGGAACAAGGGCAACCCAGUGGUGCUCAUCAGUCUGCUGUGCUUCUACACUUUUGAGUGUCAAGUUCUUGAAAUCUUCAGUGACAUUGAUAAUGCUUGUUACUGUUCCUCAGUAAGGGCCUUUGAAUUUUCUUUUGUUCACUAAAAUAUAAUUACAUUAUUGCCCCUUUUCUUCCUCCAACCCCUCCCAUGUACUACCCCUCCUCUCUUAAGUUCAUGGCCUCUGGCUGCUUUUUCUUUAAUUGUGCGCGUGUGUGUGCGUGUGCGUGUGUGUGUGUGUUAGUGUGUGUGUCUGUGCUUUCCUAGAUAUAUAAGUAUAAUCUGCUUAAUCUGUGUUUCAGGAAAUGACUUCUUGGUAAUGGAUAACCAGUUUGGGGGUUCUUCCCUACAAAAGACUGUUCUCCCACUCUCAAUAUUCCUCAGUUGCCUUUAGUUAUUUAUCUAGAGUUGGGGCCCUGUGAGAGUUCCCCCUUCCAAGUUAGCAACUCUUUAGGUGGUCAUAAUGUUGAGAUGUCAUGGGUGUAGAUUCCCAUGAGAGACACGAUCUCACAGAAGACAUCCAUUUAUCUGGCCUUCAUCAGUCUUUCUGUCCCCUUUUCCACGAUGCUCCUGACCCUUGAGGAUUUGUGCUAUAGAUGUAUCAUUUGGGCAGGGCACCAUGCAGUCACCGGUUCUCUGCAGUUUGAUUAGUUGUGGCUUUCUAUAAUGGUCUCCAUCUGUUGCAAAGAGAAGUUUCUUUGUUGAGGAGAGAGCACCACUUAUCUGUGGGUAGAGAGGAUAACUAUUUAGAAUGCAGUUAGGAGUUAUGCUGGUUUAGUGGUUGUGGUAGGUUUUCUUUCGAGACCUAUGAUCUCACAUUCCCUGAGAAGUCCUUUAGAUCUCCACAGCAGACAUGACUUUCCUCUUAUUGAGUGGGUCCAAUUAAAGCGCUAUUGGUUACUGUCAAGAUAUGAACAUCCCUAUGGUACUCAUAAAGAUGCUGUGGCAUGCUGGCCACUGUUGUGGUGCAUAUGUGUCAAGCUGCGUAGGACCAUUGGUGUUUUCCUUCCCUUGGAAGCUUACUUGGUAUCUUCUAGGAUCAUAAAACUAGUCCUCACAAGAAGAGGCUUUUAGGUCAGAGCCAACUCAAAUCCUCUGCAUUCCAUGUAUGAAGUGCAUGGUGUCUUCAGAAACAGGGGCUAACCUGUAACCCCUGUGGGACAACUGAGGGCAGCAGCAAUAGCUUAUAAUGUUUUGGAGGUCUCCCUGACCAGCAACUCCUAAGGAGACUGAACAAACUGAUUGUAGGGGGUUUUGAUAUCCAAUGAGUUUUGAGGGAAGCACUGUCACUUAGAAAAAUUUCACUUAAUAUUACACAUUAUACAUAUAAUGUACAUGUGAAUACAUACAGAUUUAUAUGUAUUAUGUAUAAUUUUAGGUCGAUAGAUAACAUGACACCUUGUGACAUUUUCAGCAAUCCUUACUGUUAUGUUAUCUCUUCCUUUCCUCUCCUUCUGCAUUGAUCUGCCUUCCCAUUCUAAUUACCAAACCCUUACUUUUUCCUAAUUUCCCUCUUUAAAUUUCUUUUACCAUGCCCCCCUCUUCCCCCUACUCUGCUUUGCUUUUCUGGCUUUGCCAGCUGAUAUAGGGUAUAUACACUCACAACUGAUGAUGAGCAGUUAAGAGACAAAGAUAAGAGACACCAUGUGAAAGAUCUUUCUGGAACCAUAUCUUACUCUGUAGCCUUGGCUAGCCUGGAACUGUGUAGACCAGGCUGGCCUUGAACUUAUAGAGCUCCACCUGUUUCCUCUUUCUAAAUGCUGGGUAUAAAGGCUUAUGCUAUUAUAACUGAGUGGCCUUUUGUGGGUAAUUAAUUCUUCCUUGGCUGGCUCAGGCAGGCAGUGAUGAUAAGAGCCACCACAUUUGCAGGAGGUUCUGGGUUCUCCAUUACAAAACAUGGCUUCAUUUACAAUUGAUAUGUUUAUAGUGAGGAAGUAGAAAGUUGUAAAGGUUGAGUAAUUUGCUGAAGAUACUGAAAUUACUUACUAAUGAUAGGUGAAGGAACUACACUUCAGGCUGAUGCUUUGGCCAUCACUGACUUGGCAAUUACUUUAAGGAAAUGCUUAUCCAUUUAGGUCCUUUAUAGCUUUUUGAUUUUAGUUCAUUUAGUGUGUCUUCAGGGAAGUGGAUAAUUUGUUGUUUUCAAAUGGAUGAAUGAUUGAAUCUGUGGAUAACAGAACUUUCCUACUACAAGCUACCCCACAGUACUAUAUAUAAUUUUUAACUUGAAAUUGAGAUCCUUGGAUUACAUUCUGCUCCUGUAUGGCACACGAGAGAAUGAUAGACUUGCAAGCAUCUGUGUGUGGAACUGGCUGAAUGUCACGUGACACAUUGACUCUGGGAAGUCAGGAUUAGCAUCAGACAAAUAAUGUUCAAAGCUUUAUUUUAAACAACCACCCCAGCCCAGUCUAGAAGUGUUUCUGGCUUUUUGAUCGAUAGCUAUAUGUUUAGUGUAUCCCUUGUGCUAAGUAUGCCUGUUCUACUGGGCAUAAUGACUCUUCUUUUGAAUUCUCUGUCCUGGGCUUAGUGAGGGUCCAACAAGCUUUAGAUGUUGAGCUGAUAGUUGGUACUAUCCAAUCACAUGGUUUCAAGUACAUCUGAUGUUAAUGACUCCUGCAACUCUGUCUUUAAUGCUAUCUUCUUCUAGAUUUCAUCACCAAGUUUCAUGGUUCAUAGACUACCAUUUCCCAGCAGCCUCUGGUCUUCUACCUUGCAUCAUGGGUUCCAUCUCAGUGGUGCAAACUAGACCAAAUCCUUCAAUCAGACCAAAAAACUAGAUGUUCCUUUUGAUUCCUUUUCUUCUCUGUCUUCUAUGUCUUGCCAGCCUCUAAGUCUGCUGAUUUGGUUUUGCUCCUAAAUAUUGUCAAGAAUGUGAAGGAUUCAAGACUUUUUAUUCACACCAAAACUGUUGGUCCCAUGGAUGCUGGGUGUUGCAACAGGCAGAGAAAUGCCAGCUCCUUCCUUCUGCAUGACUCAUUUUCCAGAGAGUUAUGGAUAGAACCAGUGCCUGCCACUUACAACUGGAGUGUAUUGUGUUACAGAAGAAAGCCUGAGUUUAAGAAACAAAAUAUUAUAUCCCGGGAAAACAGGUGCAUUGCCUGCACAGGAGAACCAUCCUCCCAAAGUUAUUCUGCACAGAAGCAUGUUUACAAAAACAGUUCACACCCAAGGCAGCAGCAGCAUGCUGAUGAGCUGUGUAGACUCAGAGCACCAUAGAUGCCUUGGGUCUUCUCCCUCUGCUGUUUCCUCAGCCCGCUGGACCAGGCUACCCCAUACAUUGCUCAAAGGACACGUUGGCUACUUUCUAACUGGCCCACUUAACUCUGAUUGGAUUUCCCUUCAUUUCUAACCUCCCUGCCCCCUCAUAUCAUGUGGGAGUUCAUAUUAGGGAUACAAAUUUGAGUUAAUGUCCCCCCUACUUGAUGCCAUUUCUUAUGCCCUCUUCAGCAGCACUUAUAAUAAAGUUGGGGGUGAUAUUGAGAAAGUUACCAUGGUCCAAGCAUGAAGAUUUAUGCAGGUUAAUGAAGCAUUAUUUUUAUUGCAUCUCCAGAUAUACCUGCAUAACUGACAACAACCAAAAUACAGAACAGCUCAUGGAUAAAGGAAAUGGUGAUGUACUGUGUGUGUAUGUGUAUGUAUGUGUGUUUGCAUGUGCAUGCACGUGUGUGUGUGUGUGUGUGUGUGUGUGUGUGUGUGUGUGUGACAUGAAGGUAGAAAGCGACUGAGGUGGAUGAGGGCUCUGAUGGGAGGGAGAGGUGAGCAAUGGCGAGAAAGUUAGAUGAACAUUGGCUGUUGUCUCUGGGAUAUUUUAGAUACAUAUAUGAUGUAAAAGCAAAUUGAGAACUGUUUGGGGAAGAAGGGCAGAAAAACCAAUGAGUGGAGGGUAUGAAGUCAGUAUGAUGGUGCAUGUACAUGACAAUAUAACAAACCCAGUGUCUUAUAUGCUCUCUAGAACAAUGGCAAAAUGCCUCUGGCUAUGGUGUGCACAUCACUAACCUCUGCACUUAGGGGGCGGGCAAGGGUGGGGGUCAGGAGCAAGAUAGUCUGUGUUGUAACCACAUAGCCCAGUAUGGUCUAUGUAGUAAGUUUCAGGCCAGCCAGGACUACAAAGCAAAGUCCUGUUUAAAAACAAACAAACAAACAAACAAACAAACAUGAACUAAACAAAUGAACUGCCUUCCUCACUGUUUACGGACAGAUUCCAAGACUCUUUAGAGUAACUGCAAAGGAGAUUGUAGAUCAGUUCCCUGGCCUUUCUAGGCUUUGGAGGCAGCCCUGGGGAUCAUUAAGUUAUUGCCCAUCUUUCAGGCUUUGGGGGUCAGUUUCAUCAUCUGUGGUUCUGAAGUAAUAGAACCUGCCUCACAGGGUGUUGGUGAGGAUCCAUUUAGCUCCCAUAGAGUUGGACUUGGGUGAAUGUUGGCCAUUCUGGGUCUUCUCAGUUUCGGACGAAUACUGAAACAUCUGGCCACAUGGGUUUCCAGUCCCUCCCCUUUCACUAUACAAAUGGAUGCCUUUGUCCCUGCCAUCCACUCUUUCUGAGGUGUCCCCAUUGCCAGGUUAGGCUGCUUGGAUGAGUCCUCUCUUCCUCCACCUGGAUGGGCUAUGUGUACUAGAUAGCAUGGGGACCUUGUGUCUACUCACGAAUUAGUUCCUGCUGUUGGACUGUCAGCUUCCUGAGGAUCGAUUAGUGAUUAGUGGCUACUUUGCUUUCUCUCUGCCUCCCUGGAAUGGCAUAAAGAUGAGAAAUAAUCGGCAGCAGGAGUAAGGGGGAUUCCUAGUCUGCUGUGGUGUUUGGGCUGUAGAGGCAGUCUGUCUAGGUCUGUAACAGGGCAGAGAAUCCGAGUUCAUGUUGGGGGUGGGGAUGGGAAUUAAGCACCCUGGCAGCCCAGUUGGUGAUCUUGUAGAAUGUGGCUCAGAAGGUCUGUUCAAAGUUACCUUUCCAUGGAAAGAAAGACAGCAGCUCAUUCUGUGGGGCUGUAAUCACUCCCUCUCCUGAAAGAACCCAUUGCCGUCUGCCUUCUUGUAGGAACUUCGGAAUACAAUGAAGCCCCUGUUACCUACCUGGUGGGGCGAGGUAAUGGAGCUUCCAUUUAAUUAACUUGUCUCUAUCACGAAAAGCGACCUCAUCCCUCCUCCUCAGUCUCCUGGUUCUCAAGGGUUGAGAAAAACCACUGCCCCAGCUUAACAGCCUCACUGGGUGUCUCACAUUGGAGGUUAUCGUUUUAUGUGAGCAUGUCUAAUGUAUGUGUGUGUGUGUGUGUGUGAGAGAGA